UACGGAGGGUGCAAGCGUUAUCCGGAUUCACUGGGUUUAAAGGGAGCGUAGGUGGGCUGGUAAGUCAGUGGUGAAAUCUCCGGGCUUAACUCGGAAACUGCCGUUGAUACUAUCAGUCUUGAAUAUUGUGGAGGUAAGCGGAAUAUGUCAUGUAGCGGUGAAAUGCUUAGAUAUGACAUAGAACACCGAUAGCGAAGGCAGCUUGCUACACAAUUAUUGACACUGAGGCUCGAAGGCGUGGGGAUCAAACAGG
rnacentral:rRNA from 1 species